AUUGAACGCUGGCGGCAGGCCUAACACAUGCAAGUCGAACGAGUGGCGGACGGGUGAGUAAUGUCUGGGAAACUGCCUGAUGGAGGGGGAUAACCACUGGAAACGGUAGCUAAUACCGCAUACCAUCAGAUGUGCCCAGAUGGGUUUAGCUUGUUGGUGGGGUAACGGCGCACCAAGGCGACGAUCCCUAGCUGGUCUGAGAGGAUAACCAGCAACACUGGAAACGAGACACGGUCCAGACGCCUACGGAGGGCAGCAGAAGAGAAAAUUGUACAAUGGUCGCAAGCCAGAUGCAGCCAUGCCGCGUGUAAGAAGAAGGCCUUCGGGUUAUAAAGUACUUUCAGCGGGGAGGCGUUACCCGCAGAAGAAGCACCGGCUAACUCCGUGCCAGCAGCCGCGGUAAUAC
rnacentral:rRNA from 1 species